rnacentral:rRNA from 1 species
UACGAAGGGGGCUAGCGUUGUUCGGAAUUACUGGACGUAAAGCGCACGUAGGCGGAUUUGUUAGUCAGGGGUGAAAUCCCGGGGCUCAACCUCGGAACUGCCUUUGAUACUGCAAAUCUCGAGUCCGGAAGAGGUGAGUGGAAUUCCUAGUGUAGAGGUGAAAUUCGUAGAUAUUAGGAAGAACACCUAUGGCGAAGGCAGCUCUCUGGGACGGUACUGACGCUGAGACGCGAAAGCGUGGGGAGCGAACAGG